rnacentral:rRNA from 1 species
CUUGGUCAUUUAGAGGAAGUAAAAGUCGUAACAAGGUUUCCGUAGGUGAACCUGCGGAAGGAUCAUUAAAAGAUAUGGCAUAUUCCAUGUGGAUAUACCCAAUCAACCCAUUCUGAGUACCUUACCUGUUGCUUUCACACAGCGUCUGCGCUCUUUUGUGUGGACAUCCAAGCCGGCAUUAGCUUGUUGGCCUUAUGUGUGAAAGGUAUACAUCAAACUCUUGCAUUACCAUGUAUUCUGUCUGAUUAUGUUUAAUACAAAAAAUAUUAAAACUUUCAACAACGGAUCUCUUGGUUCUCGCAUCGAUGAAGAACGCAGCGAAAUGCGAUAAGUAGUGUGAAUUGCAGAAUUCAGUGAAUCAUCGAAUCUUUGAACGCACAUUGCGCCUCCUGGCAUUCCGGGAGGCAUGCCUGUUCGAGCGUCAUUAAAAACCACUCAAGCUCUUUUGCUUGGUAUUGGGAGAUGAGUAGACUUUUCCUAGUUUACCCACUUUCGAAAUUCAAAGGCGUAGAGCCCCACAUACCACAGCGUAGUAAGUUUUCUUUCGCUUGGAGUGUGAGGUGAUAUUGCCACAAACCCCCAAUUAUUUUCUAGGUUGACCUCGGAUCAGGUAGGGAUACCCGCUGAACUUAAGCAUAUCAAUAAGCGGAGGA